rnacentral:lncRNA from 1 species
GAGGACACAAAGCGGCAGGCAUUCAGUCUGUAGUGCUUGCUUGUGGCCUCCCAGGACCUAGGCCUCCCCCCAGCUUCUGGUGCCUUCCCCUCAGAGCUCCUGAGAAAGCCUGGCCGACCUCAGCCCCCAGUUCUUCUUUCCAAGACACUCAGCAAUUCCCCGGGUGACCGGCUCGGUUUACCUUGAGCCUACUUACCUGGUCAGCAGGCCUUGCGUCUGAUUUUCUUAACUCGACCACGGUAAGAAGAUGCCCUCCUGCAGCAGGCCGUGCUUGCGGACCCCUCUGGAGACUUCCCGAACCCUGUGGAUUUACAGUAAGAUGCAGUUUCCCUGGGGAGUAAUUCUGGUGGAUACAAAUUCCGGAGUACCUCACCUGGCUUGCCUGGAGACGCUACAAGGAGCUGGAUGGAUUCUUCUAGCCUAGAUGCCCCCUGAGAAUGCGGUCGCAGCUCAGAGCACUGUAUGUCUACCCUUGACUCAACGGGAAUAUUUGCUCUCAUCUCUCGGGCUACCUGGAGCUCUCUCUAAAAUGUAAGUCCCCAAGACCCACCUCCUUUCAACGCAGUGUUUCUGCCAUGUUCCUGUCCUUUAUGCCAAGCUGUCCUGACUGCUGGUUGAGGGCUGUCUGUUGAUGUGGCGGCUAGGAGGAGACCUGCUGUCUUCUGUGUCCGUCUAUGUGUCUGAUGUGACGCUGGGAGCCCGUGGGAGAAAGACAAAAGUAAAAGUUGCUUUGAGUUAA